CCUACGGGCGGCAGCAGUGGGGAAUAUUGCGCAAUGGGCGAAAGCCUGACGCAGCGACGCCGCGUGAGGGAUGAAGGUCUUCGGAUCGUAAACCUCUGUCAGCAGGGAAGAACGGUCACUGUGCUAAUCAGCAGUGAAUUGACGGUACCUGCAAAGGAAGCACCGGCUAACUCCGUGCCAGCAGCCGCGGUAAUACGGAGGGUGCGAGCGUUAAUCGGAAUUACUGGGCGUAAAGCGCUCGUAGGCGGUAGGUCAAGUCAAGGGUGAAAUCCCCGCGCUCAACGUGGGAACUGCCUUUGAAACUGGCAGACUGGAGUGUGUGAGAGGAUAGUGGAAUUCCAGGUGUAGGAGUGAAAUCCGUAGAUAUCUGGAGGAACAUCAGUGGCGAAGGCGACUAUCUGGCACAUAACUGACGCUGAGGAGCGAAAGCGUGGGUAGCAAACAGGAUUAGAUACCCUAGUAGUC
rnacentral:rRNA from 1 species